UUAUGGCCACAUCACGUUGAAACACCGCCCUUCGUGCGAUCACUGAAGUUAAGCAACGUCGAGCCUGGUCAGUACCUAGAUGGGUGACAGCUUGGGAAGACCUGAUACUGUAAG